GGAAGAGAGAGCUAGAAGGCCACAAUUUUUUAAUGUUAGUUGAUUAGUGAUACAUUUCAGCUGAUUAGUGACACAUGCCACUUCAUUUCAGAGAAUAUUGGAUGGAAUGAGGCCCUUGGUCAUGCCUAACUGCACUAACUAGAACAGAGGAGCUUGAAACAUAUUCUCCAGCCUACUUGCUUCUUCCCUGGCGAUUUCUUAUUUCAUUAGGCUUGCUGGAACACACUGCAUUCAUAGGACAAAGAAAACUUGUGCAGUGUGCUUGGGAAGAGAAUGCCCCUUUCUUCCAUACCACUUCUGUGCCCUUGAAUGCCAUGGAUAAAGACCUUGUGGUUCUACAUGGAGAUUUGAGGACAAAGGAAAAUGGGUGAGUUUGCAUAGUCAUCUGCAUGCCCUACAAGGUAACCUCCUUCUUGGAGAGUAAAGCAGCAGGCAGGAAAGGUUUAG
rnacentral:lncRNA from 1 species